rnacentral:rRNA from 1 species
GGAAACCCAGUGCAAUUCGUUGCACUAUCGUUAACUGAAUACAUAGGUUAACGAGGCGAACCGGGGGAACUGAAACAUCUAAGUACCCCGAGGAAAAGAAAUCAACCGAGAUUCCCCCAGUAGCGGCGAGCGAACGGGGAGCAGCCCAGAGUCUGAAUCAGCUUGUGUGUUAGUGGAACGGUCUGGAAAGUCCGACGGUACAGGGUGAUAGUCCCGUACACCAAAAUGCACAGGCUGUGAACUCGAAGAGUAGGGCGGGACACGUGGUAUCCUGUCUGAAUAUGGGGGGACCAUCCUCCAAGGCUAAAUACUCCUGACUGACCGAUAGUGAACCAGUACCGUGAGGGAAAGGCGAAAAGAACCCCGGCGAGGGGAGUGAAAAAGAACCUGAAACCGUGUACGUACAAGCAGUGGGAGCACCUUCGGGUGUGACUGCGUACCUUUUGUAUAAUGGGUCAG